CCACAACACCACCCAAACAACAACACACAUACAAGGUGUUUUCCAUAUUCUCUAUCCACUCAAAAGCAGAAACCAUCCAAUCUCAGUGCUUACACAGUCUCUUUAAAGAAUCCCCAUUAACCCCUCCACAACAACCCUCAUCCUCAUCUGCCGCCAACAUUCAUUCAUCCUCCAACUACCCAACAAUUAAGGUUACCAGCUUUGAUCUUCAUUCAUACGUAAGUUUCCUGUACGUAUCUCUCUCUCAACAAUUAAUGUCACCCUGUACAUAUCUUUCCAACUUUCUCUCAUUCUGUUCAUCAAUUAAGGUUACCAGCAGAAUCUCUGUUCAUCAAUUAAGGUUAGUAGCGAAUACACCUUCAUCUGCCGCCUUCAAUGCACAUCUUCAAGUACCAUUAAUCCUCCAACUACCGACUUCAAUUACCCCCAUCUACCAUGCCAGCUUCUUUUAUAUCCAACCCUUACAUCAUCUGCCCCCAUCUACCAUUCCAGUCCACCACCUCCUCUCAAGAUUUUGAACUAACUGAUGCACAACAAGAGCAUGCUCUGACUGUCGAAAGUUUGGCACCAAGAUUGGCUGCUCUUAGGAUUGAACUUUGCCCGGGUUAUAUGAGUGAAAGUUCUUUCUGGAAGAUUUAUUUUGUGCUUUUGCAUCCGAGACUUGAACCUCAUGCUGCUGCACUUCUUUCGACACCUGAGGUAAUAGAUCCAGAAUGCAUUGGUUAAAAUUGCCUAAAAUCAAUUAGACAUACUUGUUGCUGACUUGCUGUUGCUCGUUGCUGUCGGAGCCAUACCGGAGAUAUCCAAACCUUACAACUUCUCUUCAGGUUGAUCUUCACGAUCUUUAUGCUGCUGCUGUUGUUGUUUCUUAUGUUUUCUCUUCAGCUGCGGUUUGCCUACUGAAGCUGCUUUAAAAGUGCUGGUAGAAAAAAUGGGAGUUCCUGAUGUUAAUGCCCGAAAGAAAAUUCGCGGGUUGCAGAUUACGGCAAACUAUUUGAUUGAUAACAAUAGUGUUAAGUUA